rnacentral:tRNA from 1 species
UCCUGGCUGGCUCAGUCAGUGGAGUGUGUGACUUCUGAUCUCGUAAUCAUGAGUUCGAACCCCGUGUUGGGUA